UGCAUAAGUUCGUCGUGUUUGCCAGGAGAAGCCUAUAGAGGAGGAGGCGGACUGGUUCGAUCUUCAGGGACGGGUGUGGGCUCUCAAAGUCGUGCGUGACGGUUGCAUCACCAGUUUCCCAUGUUGCAGUUCUUGGUUCUUGCGGUGCAUGCGUUGCGGCGUUGGUUGUGUUUCUGGUUUGCUGGAGUGUUCCUGUGGCCCAGGCCGCCAAUUUCUUUUCGGGGUGGUGUGUGGGUGCAGUGCGUUUUUCGACGAUCGGCCGAGCGGGGGUCGGGCUUUUGUGUACUUUAACGUACGCGGGGGGUCUUGGGCAGGAGGGGGUUUUGACUGGUCGAUGCUUCCAGAGUUCUGGGAGGUUGU
rnacentral:lncRNA from 1 species